rnacentral:rRNA from 1 species
CACGUAGGCGGAUAUUUAAGUCAGGGGUGAAAUCCCAGAGCUCAACUCUGGAACUGCCUUUGAUACUGGGUAUCUUGAGUAUGGAAGAGGUAAGUGGAAUUCCGAGUGUAGAGGUGAAAUUCGUAGACAUUCGGAGGAACACCAGUGGCGAAGGCGGCUUACUGGUCCAUUACUGACGCUGAGGUGCGAAAGCGUGGGGAGCAAACA